rnacentral:rRNA from 1 species
AAACUCGUAACGGUGGAUGUCUUGGCUCCUACAUCGAUGAAGAACGCAGCAAAAUGCGAUACGUAAUGCGAAUUGCAGAACCGGGAAUCAUCAAAUUUUUGAACGCAAGUUGCGCUCGCGGGUAAUCCUGCGAGCAUAUCUGUUUGAGUGUCC